CUGGUUGAUCCUGCCAGACCCGACUGCUAUCGGAUUGGGACUAAGCCAUGCGAGUCAACUCCGCAAGGGGUGGCGCACGGCUCAGUAACACGUAGUCAACCUACCCUGGGGACGGGGAUAACCUCGGGAAACUGAGGCUAAACCCCGAUGGGCCAUGGCUCCUGGAAUGGGCUAUGGCUGAAAUCUACAUGGCCCCAGGAUGGGACUGCGGCCGAUCAGGUUGUUGGUGGGGUAAUGGCCCACCAAGCCUAUAACCGGUGCGGGCUCUGAGAGGAGGAGUCCGGAGAUAGGCACUGAGACAAGGGCCCAGGUCCUAUGGGGCGCAGCAGGCGCGAAACCUCCGCAAUGGGCGAAAGCCCGACGGGGUCAGUCCGAGUGGUUCCCGCUGAGGGAACCUUUUGCCAGCUGUAAACAGGCUGGCGAAUAAGGGGUGGGCAAGUUUGGUGUCAGCCGCCGCGGUAAUACCAGCACCCCGAGUGGUCGGGACGAUUAUUGGGCCUAAAGCAUCCGUAGCCGGCCCAGUAAGUCCUCCGUUAAAUCCAACGGCUCAACCGUUGGGCUGCGGGGGAUACUGCUGGGCUAGGGGACGGGAGAGGCGAGGGGUAUUCCCGGGGUAGGGGUAAAAUCCACUGAUCCCGGGAGGACCACCAGUGGCGAAGGCGCCUCGCUAGAACGUGCCCGACGGUGAGGGAUGAGAGCUGGGGGAGCGAACCGGAUUAGAUACCCGGGUAGUCCCAGCCGUAAACGAUGUAGGCUCGGUGUUGGGCUGCCUCAGUGGCAGCCCAGUGCCGCAGGGAAGCCGUUAAGCCUACCGCCUGGGGAGUACGGCCGCAAGGCUGAAACUUAAAGGAAUUGGCGGGGGAGCACCAC
rnacentral:rRNA from 1 species